rnacentral:miRNA from 1 species
CCUAUCCUUGAUUACUUGCACU